rnacentral:misc_RNA from 1 species
AAACUACGAUAAUUAAUAAAAUAAUAAAACUUAGCAAAUGAUAUUUCAAACAAGUUAUUAUUAUUAGAGUAAUUAAAUGCAGGACUGCCAGAAAAAUGCCUAAUUUAAGUAAUAUUCUCAAUCGGAAAAUUCAGCUUUCAAUUUGGGCUUGCCAAUCCUAGCUAGUUUGAGGCAUUUCAUAUGGUUGAAAUGAUGAAGUCCUCCGUGAAGAUUAAGCUGGCCCAUAAGAGAACAGAAGCAACAGCAACGACAAUUGUAAUGGGUGUCCAUUUCAGUGCGAUCAACUGUACUAUCAGAAAAUUAAUACAUUGAAAAUUCUAAUGAUAAAAAAAGAUUAGGCACAGUUUCUUUGCCUAUAAAAUAUUUUCUAAGCAAUUUCUAUAUUAUACUCAUACACGCAUACCUCAAGGAGUGGGGAACCCCAUAUCGAAGGGGCAGUUGGAGGUCUUGCUAGUGCUGUUUCUGGUAGUUCUGAUAAAAACAGGAGUGAGGAGAUGAACAAUGCAUAGGGUUUUUGUAUGCCUUGUGAAUAGAACAUAAAAAUAAAGCUUAAUCUCUACCUGCAUUCCGUUUUCUUUCCAAGAUUUCAGAAAUGUGUUGAGUAAUGAUAUCUGUAUCUUUCUGUCUACUAGCAUUCAACUUUGACAGAUUAGCUUGUGUUCUGGUAUCAACGUAUUGCUUCCUUAUAUUUCUAAUAACACCAUCUGCAAACAAAAUGUUGAAUUGGAUAUUUUUCUGCUAGUACUCGCUACUUACUUUGCUGAGAGAAACUUGAGAAAUUUAUUGAAGAAGCAGGAUGAUAUUGGAGAUUUAAGUCUCAUUUGGAUUAAUUGUUUUUGCUCUAUUAACAUGUGAGCAUAUAUGUAUGCCAGCCAUCUUCAACUUAGAGUAGUAUAUAUAGAGAUUACCGAAUUUGUGGAAAGUGUAAGGACUUGUAAUCUUGUGAAUGAGGGCAUUGUCAAGUUUCUCCAACUCCUUCUGCAAAUCUUGCAGGUAAUGGAAAGCUAGCUUUCUUGGAUAUGAAGAAUCGCACAAUGUAAUGAAGCAGACUCCAUUCUCAACCAAGUAGCUUAAUGCGUCAAAAAGAUCAGGUAAAUUAAAUUAAUUAAACAUCAGACCUCUAUAGUCUUAACUUGUUCUUUUUUGGCCUUUUCUAAUUCUCCCUUACCAUUAAAUUUUAUGCCGAAAAAUAAAAAUAAAAAUAAAAGAAAAGAAAGAUCCAUCUAAUAAUAAAAUUUAAGUUCAUUUCAGCAGAAGCAAGUACAAAAAAUAUAAUGGAAAGAAGAUACUUGAAGGAGUGGUGAUCAAUGCGAAUGGUCAUCUUGGAAGGUGUCAGGGCACCGCUUGAGAUUUCUUUCAGUAUGAAUUCAGCUUGUUGCCUAUAAAAUAUGAAGUUAUCAUUCUCUUUAUGUACGUACCUGGGCCCUUGUGCAAGAGGCAACCCAUCAGCCAACCUUCCAAUUAUUGUCAGCUCAACCAUUACCAAAAAGAAUUAUGCAAUCCACAAAUGUAAAAUCUAACAGCAAUAUGUGAA